rnacentral:piRNA from 1 species
CUAUCUGAACAUCUGUCUUUUUCCCUGCAG